UUAAGCGACUAAGCGUACACGGUGGAUGCCCUGGCAGUCAGAGGCGAUGAAGGACGUGCUAAUCUGCGAAAAGCGUCGGUAAGGUGAUAUGAACCGUUAUAGCCGGCGAUGUCCGAAUGGGGAAACCCAGUGCAAUUCGUUGCACUAUCGUUAACUGAAUACAUAGGUUAACGAGGCGAACCGGGGGAACUGAAACAUCUAAGUACCCCGAGGAAAAGAAAUCAACCGAGAUUCCCCCAGUAGCGGCGAGCGAACGGGGAGCAGCCCAGAGUCUGAAUCAGCUUGUGUGUUAGUGGAACGGUCUGGAAAGUCCGACGGUACAGGGUGAUAGUCCCGUACACCAAAAUGCACAGGCUGUGAACUCGAAGAGUAGGGCGGGACACGUGGUAUCCUGUCUGAAUAUGGGGGGACCAUCCUCCAAGGCUAAAUACUCCUGACUGACCGAUAGUGAACCAGUACCGUGAGGGAAAGGCGAAAAGAACCCCGGCGAGGGGAGUGAAAAAGAACCUGAAACCGUGUACGUACAAGCAGUGGGAGCACCUUCGGGUGUGACUGCGUACCUUUUGUAUAAUGGGUCAGCGACUUAUAUUCUGUAGCAAGGUUAACCGUAUAGGGGAGCCGCAGGGAAACCGAGUCUUAACUGGGCGUUAAGUUGCAGGGUAUAGACCCGAAACCCGGUGAUCUAGCCAUGGGCAGGUUGAAGGUUGGGUAACACUAACUGGAGGACCGAACCGACUAAUGUUGAAAAAUUAGCGGAUGACUUGUGGCUGGGGGUGAAAGGCCAAUCAAACCGGGAGAUAGCUGGUUCUCCCCGAAAGCUAUUUAGGUAGCGCCUCGUGAAUUCAUCUUCGGGGUAGAGCACUGUUUCGGCUAGGGGGUCAUCCCGACUUACCAACCCGAUGCAAACUACGAAUACCGAAGAAUGUUAUCACGGGAGACACACGGCGGGUGCUAACGUCCGUCGUGAAGAGGGAAACAACCCAGACCGCCAGCUAAGGUCCCAAAGUCAUGGUUAAGUGGGAAACGAUGUGGGAAGGCACAGACAGCCAGGAUGUUGGCUUAGAAGCAGCCAUCAUUUAAAGAAAGCGUAAUAGCUCACUGGUCGAGUCGGCCUGCGCGGAAGAUGUAACGGGGCUAAACCAUGCACCGAAGCUGCGGCAGCGACACUAUGUGUUGUUGGGUAGGGGAGCGUUCUGUAAGCCUGCGAAGGUGUGCUGUGAGGCAUGCUGGAGGUAUCAGAAGUGCGAAUGCUGACAUAAGUAACGAUAAAGCGGGUGAAAAGCCCGCUCGCCGGAAGACCAAGGGUUCCUGUCCAACGUUAAUCGGGGCAGGGUGAGUCGACCCCUAAGGCGAGGCCGAAAGGCGUAGUCGAUGGGAAACAGGUUAAUAUUCCUGUACUUGGUGUUACUGCGAAGGGGGGACGGAGAAGGCUAUGUUAGCCGGGCGACGGUUGUCCCGGUUUAAGCAUGUAGGCUGGUUGUCCAGGCAAAUCCGGAUAAUCAAGGCUGAGGUGUGAUGACGAGGCACUACGGUGCUGAAGUAACAAAUGCCCUGCUUCCAGGAAAAGCCUCUAAGCAUCAGGUAACAUUAAAUCGUACCCCAAACCGACACAGGUGGUCAGGUAGAGAAUACCAAGGCGCUUGAGAGAACUCGGGUGAAGGAACUAGGCAAAAUGGUGCCGUAACUUCGGGAGAAGGCACGCUGGUGUGUAGGUGAAGUCCCUGCGGAUGGAGCUGAGACCAGUCGAAGAUACCAGCUGGCUGCAACUGUUUAUUAAAAACACAGCACUGUGCAAACACGAAAGUGGACGUAUACGGUGUGACGCCUGCCCGGUGCCGGAAGGUUAAUUGAUGGGGUUAUCCGUAAGGAGAAGCUCUUGAUCGAAGCCCCGGUAAACGGCGGCCGUAACUAUAACGGUCCUAAGGUAGCGAAAUUCCUUGUCGGGUAAGUUCCGACCUGCACGAAUGGCGUAAUGAUGGCCAGGCUGUCUCCACCCGAGACUCAGUGAAAUUGAACUCGCUGUGAAGAUGCAGUGUACCCGCGGCAAGACGGAAAGACCCCGUGAACCUUUACUAUAGCUUGACACUGAACAUUGAGCCUUGAUGUGUAGGAUAGGUGGGAGGCUUUGAAGCGUGGACGCCAGUCUGCGUGGAGCCAACCUUGAAAUACCACCCUUUAAUGUUUGAUGUUCUAACGUUGGCCCCUGACCGGGGUUGCGGACAGUGUCUGGUGGGUAGUUUGACUGGGGCGGUCUCCUCCCAAAGCGUAACGGAGGAGCACGAAGGUUAGCUAAUCCUGGUCGGACAUCAGGAGGUUAGUGCAAUGGCAUAAGCUAGCUUGACUGCGAGCGUGACGGCGCGAGCAGGUGCGAAAGCAGGUCAUAGUGAUCCGGUGGUUCUGAAUGGAAGGGCCAUCGCUCAACGGAUAAAAGGUACUCCGGGGAUAACAGGCUGAUACCGCCCAAGAGUUCAUAUCGACGGCGGUGUUUGGCACCUCGAUGUCGGCUCAUCACAUCCUGGGGCUGAAGUAGGUCCCAAGGGUAUGGCUGUUCGCCAUUUAAAGUGGUACGCGAGCUGGGUUUAGAACGUCGUGAGACAGUUCGGUCCCUAUCUGCCGUGGGCGCUGGAGAAUUGAGGGGGGCUGCUCCUAGUACGAGAGGACCGGAGUGGACGCAUCACUGGUGUUCGGGUUGUCAUGCCAAUGGCACUGCCCGGUAGCUAAAUGCGGAAGAGAUAAGUGCUGAAAGCAUCUAAGCACGAAACUUGCCCCGAGAUGAGUUCUCCCUGAGACUUUAAGUCUCCUGAAGGAACGUUAAAGACGAUGACGUUGAUAGGCCGGGUGUGUAAGCGCAGCGAUGCGUUGAGCUAACCGGUACUAAUGAACCGUGAGGCUUAACCUU
rnacentral:rRNA from 1 species